rnacentral:misc_RNA from 1 species
AAGUCGUAACAAGGUUUCCGUAGGUGAACCUGCGGAAGGAUCAUUAACGAAUAAACCUCGGUGGGUUUGAUGCUGGCCCUUGGGCAUGUGCACCGCCUGUCGUUCUUUAUUUCUUCUCCACCUGUGCACCCUUUGUAGGCUUGAACCGCUUUUUUUGGCCUUUGGGUCAGUGUUGGGGACUGCUGAAUGGCUAUCCCCUACCGUUCGAGUCUAUGUUUUUUACACUACACACCAUUGUUAAACCUUAGAAUGUCAAAGGCUCUACGUGUGCCUAUCUAAACGCUAUACAACUUUCAGCAACGGAUCUCUUGGCUCUC